rnacentral:rRNA from 1 species
UACGGAGGGUGCAAGCGUUGUUCGGAAUUAUUGGGCGUAAAGCGCGUGUAGGCGGACCGUUAAGUCUGGUGUGAAAUCCCUCGGCUCAACUGAGGACGUGCAUCGGAUACUGGCGGCCUUGAGUCCUGGAGAGGGUAGCGGAAUUCCCAGUGUAGAGGUGAAAUUCGUAGAUAUUGGGAGGAACACCGGUGGCGAAGGCGGCUACCUGGACAGUGACUGACGCUGAGACGCGAAAGCAUGGGUAGCAAACAGG